rnacentral:lncRNA from 10 species
AUCUACACACCAUGGCCUUCCAAAACAUUGGGAGUACAGAACCAGAGCAAAUCAAUUGUCUAGCAGCUACGAGGUCUUCUUCACCACAAAACUAUGGCUCUCUUCCCUCGGGUUUAAGGAUCUUUCAAUUUGGCACAAGAAAGACCUGCAAUUCAGAACUCCAACAGACAUAAAAAUAACAAAAAAGGAAAUGUCCCUCUCUCUGUCUAAAGCAUCAGCAAAGGGGAAGCCUAGAAGGUGCUUAAUGAGGACACUUAUACUCAGUAACUGUGGUGGGCUUGAUCUGCCUGCAAGAACAGCACUAGUAGAACCCAGAUGACCUGAUCCAUCCCAUGCUGGACACAUGCCAGUAGCCGCAGGCCUGAUCUGCCUAUAGCCAUGUUACCAGCAGAGUUCAGGGACCAGCACCUACCUCACCCAUACCUGCUGACAACAGUGGGGCUGAUCCUUGCUGAGUUGGAGUGGCAAUGGUGGAACCUCGACUGGUUGAUUCAUCCUCUGCCCCACACCAGGUGAUAGUUCUGGUGCCUCAUAGUUCUCAAACCAGAAGAGAAAAGGAAGGAGCACAUAUUUAUCAGGCACUAGAAACAAAGACUUGUUAUCAAUAAAUUCUAUACUCCAUGAAAUUGUUCUUCAGGAAUAAAGAGGAAAGCAAGACAUCCUUAGUUUAAAAAAAAUCCAACAAAGUAUAAAAUAAGUUGUAUAUAACUUCAAAAAUGGGCAAAAGACAUAAACAUAUCAAAUAGGAUAUGUCAUUGGCAGAUAAGCAGGUGACAUACAUUUAUCUUAAUUAGCCAUUAGAACAUGCAAACUAAAAUUACAAUGAUAUAUCACCACAGACCUAUUAAGAAACAGGGAAAACACCAAAUUCUGACAAGGACGCAAAGAAACUGGAUCAUGAUAACCCAAAAAUCCCCAUGGGUAGGUAAAAGUGUACAGCCACUCUGGAAAACUGUAUCUGUUUCUUAUAAAACUAAACAUGCAUUUAACAAAAACCCAGCAAUUGUACUUGUCAAUAUUUAGCCCAGAAAUAAUGAAAACAUACACACACACACACACACACACACACACACACAAACACACACAAUGUACAUAAAUUUUCCUGGAAGAUUUAUUUGUAAUACUUCCAAACAGGAGUCAGUAGUGAUGUUCUUCAGUGGGUAAGUGGUUAAUUAAAUCGUGCUACACACAUACCAUGGAAUUUUCUUAAGUGAUACCAAAUACAUAUAUAAAAGAAUGAAAUACUGAUAUGUGCCACAACCUGUGUAAAUGCAAACAGAAUUACAAUGAGUGAAAAUGGUCAGUCCCAGACUGCAUACUGUACAAUUUCAUUUCACACUGUUUGGAAAACCUACAAAUUCUAGAAAUUAAGAACAGAUUUAUGGUUUUCAGGACUUAGGGG